CCUACGGGUGGCAGCAGUGAGGAAUAUUGGUCAAUGGGCGCGAGCCUGAACCAGCCAAGUCGCGUGAGGGAGGACGGCCCUACGGGUUGUAAACCUCUUUUGCCGGGGAGCAACGGGCGCCACGUGUGGCGUCACUGAGAGUACCCGGAGAAAAAGCAUCGGCUAACUCCGGGCCAGCAGCCGCGGUAAUCCGGAGGAUGAGAGCGUUCUCCGGUUUUAUUGGGUUUAAAGGGUGCGUAGGCGGAUCGUUAAGUCAGUGGUCACAUUGAGGGGCUCAACCCCUUCCCGCCAUUGAAACUGGCGUUCUUGAGUGGAAGAGAGGUAUGCGGAAUGCGUGGUGUAGCGGUGAAAUGCAUAGAUAUCACGCAGAACCCCGAUUGCGAAGGCAGCAUGCCGGCUUCCGACUGACGCUGAAGCACGAAAGCGUGGGGAUCGAACAGGAUUAGAUACCCCAGUAGUC
rnacentral:rRNA from 1 species